GCUAGGAAGAGGAAGAAUAUUCUAAGAGCGAUGAGAAUGGGAACACGGAGGAAACCCCGAGCUAUCCGUCCGCACCUCUGUAACAAGUGGUGGAUAUUUGUCUUAGUGUUUCCCCAUGCCUCCCAUUCCUAUUGCUCUUAGGUUCACCUUACCCUUUCUUUUACCU
rnacentral:pre_miRNA from 1 species